UAACCUCAGCUCAGGUGAGAACACCAGCUGAUUUUAAGAAUAUAAUUAAGCGGAGGAAAAGAAACUUACAAGGAUUCCCCUAGUAGCGACGAGCGAAUCGGGAAGAGCCCUGCAUGAAAAUCGGGCGGUAGCGUCACCUGAAUUGUAGUCUGUAAAAGCAUAUUCAGCGAUGGACCUCGGCCAAGUCCCUUGGAAGGGGGUGCCUGAGAGGGUGACAACCCCAUUGGGUUAGGACCCUACCACAUCAUGAGGCAUUGUCGAUGAGUCGGGUUGUUUGGGAAUGCAACCCUAAUUGGGUGGUAAAUUUCGUCCAAGGCUAAAUAUGGGCGAGAGACCGAUAACAAACAAUUACUGCGAGGGAAAGAUGAAAAUGAAUUUGAAAAGAGAGUUAAAGAGUGCUUGAAAUUGCUAGGAGGGAAGUGGAUGGAGGCCAUCAAUGCAUCUCAGUCAGAUGUGGAAUGGCUUAGGCUGGUCUACUGCUCGAAUUGAGGUGCAAACCAACACGGGCUGCUACAUCGUGACAAGCACGAGUGAAUUACUACCUGUCAAUUUUCCAUUACGGUGGUCGUGGAAUGAAGCAUGUGCCCGUGUGGCAGGCCAUGUACACGUACACACUCGUGGGGUUGGUUGGCAGGCUUUCCAUUUGACCCAUCUUGAAACACGGACUAAGGAGUCUAACAUGUGUGCGAGUCGGCGGGUUUGAAAACCUAUGAGUCACAAGGAAGCUGACGGGUGAGAUCCCCUCUUUGGGGGGGUGCAUCGUCGACCAACCUUGAGCUUAUGUGAAGGGUUCGAGUUCAAGCACACCUAUUGAGACCCAAAAUAUGGUGAACUAUGCCUAAGCAGGGCAAAGCCAAAGGAAACUCUAGUGGAGGCUCUUAGUGAUACAGACAUGCAAAUUGUUCGUCUGAUUUGGGUAUAUGGGCAAAAGACUAAUCGAACCAUCUAGUAGCUAGUUUCCUCCAAAGUUUCCCUUAGGAUAGCUGGAGCUCACGCGCGAGUUUUAUUGAGUAAAGAAAAUGAUUAGAGGCAUUGGGGGCAUAACUCCCUCAACCUAUUCUCAAAAUUUAAAUAGGUAAGAGAGUGUGGCUACUCCAUUGAGUCACACCAUGGAAUCGAGAGCUCCAAGUGGGCCAUUUUUGGUAAGCAAAACUGGCGAUGCGGGAUGAACCAAAAGUCAAGUUAUAGUGCCAAAUUGCACGCUAACCUAGAUCCUACAAAGGGUGUUGGUUGAUUAAGACAGUGGGACAGUGGUCAUGGAAGUCGAAAUCUGCUAAGGAGUGUUUAACAACUCACCGGAUGAAUCAAAUAGCCCCGAAAAUGGAUGGUGCUAAAGCAUGCAACCUAUACAUGACCAUCGGAGCAAUUGCCUGGCUCCGAUGGGUAGGAGGAUGUGGGGGUCAUUGAUAAACCUCGAGUGUGAGUUUGGGUGGAUUAGCCCCUGGUGUAGAUCUUGGUGGUAGUAGCAAAUACUCAAAUGAGAGCUUUGAAGACUGAAGUGGGGAAAUAUUCCUUGUGAAAAGCACUUGGACAUGGGUUAGUCGAUCCUAAGGGAUGGGGAAGCCUUGUAUCAAGGGUGCACUCUGCAUGAGCAUCGAAAGGGAAUUGGUUUAAUAUUCUUGAACCGAGACAUGGUGGUAGGCGAUGAUGUUAGGAAAUUCGGAGAUGUCGUCAGGGGCCCCAGGAAGAGUUAUCUUUUCUUUUUAACAGCUUGCCCACCCUGUAAUCAGUUCACUUGGAGAUAGGGUCCAGUAGCUGGAAGAGCACCACAUGUCUUGCGGUGUCUAGUGCGCCCUCGGCAGCCCUUGAAAAUCUGGAGGACUGAGUACCGUUCAUGCCCGGUCAUACUCAUAACCGCAUUAGGUCUCUAAUGUGAACAACCUCUGGUCAAUAGAACAAUGUAGGUAAGGGAAGUCGGAAAAAUGAUCUAUAGCUUCGGGAAAAGGAUUGGCUCUGAGGGCUGGGCCUAGGGGUCUACACCGUUAACUCAUGGGCUAUUGGCAAUCUGUUUGAGCUGCUCUCGCGGCAAGGGCAGGCAUUCAUGUGUUGAUUGGGCUACGAGCAUAGAAUGCCCCCUGCCGGGGGCUUUUUCCUAGGCGUCAAACAGUCGACUCAAAACUAGUAUGGAAAAGGGGAAUCUAACUAUUUAAUUAAAACAAAUCAUUGUGAUGGUCCCUGCGGAUGCUGAUGCAAUGUGAUUUUUUCCCAGUGCUAUGAAUGCCAAAGUGAAGAUAUUCAACCAAGCAUAGGUAAAUGGCGGGAGUAACUAUGACUCUCUUAAUGUAGCCAAAUGCCUCAUUAUCUAAUUAGUGACGUGCAUGAAUGGAUUAACGAGAUUUCCAAUGUCCCUAUCUACUAUCUAGUGAAACGAAAACCAAGGGAAUGGGCUUGGUAGAAUCAGCAGGGAAAGAAGACCCUGUUGAGCUUGACUCUAGUCUAACUUUGUGAAAUGACUUGAGAGGUGUAGAAUAAGUGGGAGUCGUUUUCAGUGCAAUUGAAAUACCACUACUUUUAACAUUAUUUUACUUAUUCCGUGGGGCGGAGAUGGGGCAUUGCCAUUAUUUUUGGCCUUAAGGCACAUAUCGGUGGGUUGAUCUGGGUGAAAGACAUUUUCAUGUGGGGAGUUUGGCUGGGGCGGCAAAUCUGUUAAAAGAUAACGCAGGCGUCCUAAGAUGAGCUCAACGAGAAUAGAUAUCUUGUGUGGAAUAAAAGGGUAAAAUCUCAUUUGAUUUUGAUUUUCAAUACAAAUACAAACAGGGAAAGUGUGGCCUAUCGAUCCCUUAGAUUUUUGAAAUUUGAAGCUAGAGUUGUCAGAAAAGUUACCAUAGGGAUAACUGGCUUGUGGCAGCCAAGUGUUCAUAGCGACGUUGCUUUUUGAUCCUUCGAUGUCGGCUCUUCCUAUCAUUAUGAAGAAGAAUUCACCAAGUGUUCGAUUGUUCACCCACCAAUAGGGAACACGAGUUGGGUUUAGACUGUCAUGAGACAGGUUAGUUUUACCCUACUGAUGAACUGCACCACAAUAGUAAUUCAGCUUAGUACGAAAGGAACCAUUGAUUCACACAAUUGGACAUCGCACUUGGUUGAAAAGAUAGUGCUGUGAAGCUACCGUGUGUUGGAUUAUGACUGAACCCCUUUAAGUCAGAAUCCAUGCUAGAAGUGGUGCAUGUCACUCUUCGACUAUAUCUCGACCCAUAGUAGGGGCGUCGCUUUGAUGCCCCCAAGGACCCGUGUCAUUUGCAAACCGUGACCGUGAAGCAUCUCAGUUGGGAAAACUUUGAAGUUAAAUUCCAAAUGGUCAUUGAGAAGAAUCCUUUGCAGAAGACUUAAAUACACAACGGGGUAUUGUAAGUGGCAUAGUGGCCUUGCUUCCAUGAUCCACUACGAUUCAGC
rnacentral:rRNA from 1 species